rnacentral:tRNA from 1 species
UCCUUGUUGGCUCAGAGGUUAAAGUGUCUGCCUGCAAUGCGGGAGACCCAGGUUCGAUCCCUGGGUCGGGAA